rnacentral:tRNA from 1 species
AAGGAUAUGGCUCAGUGGUACAGUGCCUGCUUGGCAAGCACCAAGUCCUGAGUUUGAUUCCCAGUAUCAAUA